rnacentral:rRNA from 1 species
CGGAGCGGAACGGGGUCGCAGAGAAUCGGUGGCUGCGACUGUUUAUUAAAAACACAGCACUCUGCAAACACGAAAGUGGACGUAUAGGGUGUGACGCCUGCCCGGUGCCGGAAGGUUAAGUGAUGGGGUGCAAGCUCUUGAUCGAAGCCCCGGUAAACGGCGGCCGUAACGAUAACGGUCCUAAGGUAGCGAAAUUCCUUGUCGGGUAAGUUCCGACCUGCACGAAUGGCGUAACGAUGGCCACACUGUCUCCUCCUGAGACUCAGCGAAGUUGAAAUGUUUGUGAAGAUGCAAUCUCCCCGCGGCUAGACGGAAAGACCCCAUGAACCUUUACUGUAGCUUUGCAUUGGACUUUGACGGGACUUGUGUAGGAUAGGUGGGAGGCUUUGAAACCGGGACGCCAGUUCCGGUGGAGCCAACCUUGAAAUACCACCCUGGUGUCGUCGAGGUUCUAACCCAGGCCUGUGAAUCCAGUCGGGGACCGUGCAUGGUGGGCAGUUUGACUGGGGCGGUCUCUCCCAAAGGUACGGAGGAGUACGAAGGUCACCUAGGUACGUCGGAC